UACGAAGGGGGCUAGCGUUGCUCGGAAUCACUGGGCGUAAAGCGCACGUAGGCGGAUUGCUAAGUCAGGGGUGAAAUCCUGGAGCUCAACUCCAGAACUGCCUUUGAUACUGGCGAUCUUGAGUCCGGGAGAGGUGAGUGGAACUGCGGAGUGUAGAGGUGAAAUUCGUAGAUAUUCGCAAGAACACCAGUGGCGAAGGCGGCUCACUGGCCCGGUACUGACGCUGAGGUGCGAAAGCGUGGGGAGCAAACAGG
rnacentral:rRNA from 1 species